GGCGAACGCUGGCGGCGUGCUUAACACAUGCAAGUCGAACGCUGAAGCUUGGUGCUUGCACUGGGUGGAUGAGUGGCGAACGGGUGAGUAAUACGUGAGUAACCUGCCCUUGACUCUGGGAUAAGCCUGGGAAACUGGGUCUAAUACUGGAUAUGACAUGCCACUGCAUGGUGGUGUGUGGAAAGGGUUUUACUGGUUUUGGAUGGGCUCACGGCCUAUCAGCUUGUUGGUGGGGUAAUGGCCUACCAAGGCGACGACGGGUAGCCGGCCUGAGAGGGUGACCGGCCACACUGGGACUGAGACACGGCCCAGACUCCUACGGGAGGCAGCAGUGGGGAAUAUUGCACAAUGGGCGGAAGCCUGAUGCAGCGACGCCGCGUGAGGGAUGACGGCCUUCGGGUUGUAAACCUCUUUCAGCACGGAAGAAGCGAGAGUGACGGUACGUGCAGAAGAAGCGCCGGCUAACUACGUG
rnacentral:rRNA from 1 species